CAUUUUAGAUCCUUCGACUUGUGUAGCUUCUCACUUACAUUAUAUCACAAUCAGCCGCUCAAUCUGGUUAUCACUUACUUCAAAUACUUUCGUUUGCCUUCGGUGACAAUAAGGCUGAUGUGACACACUCAUUUUUUUAUUGAAAGUUCCAUUUUUAAAAAUUCCCUUCCUCCUUUUUCUUUUAAAUCAAAGUGAUCUUACAGCUACUUAAUCCCUGAAUGAACUUCACUUCGGUUUAACAAGUCCAUCUGUACGCAACCCGUUGUGGUGCAGCUCUUCGCGCUCCCGAAAGUCAUUCAUAUUCUUACGAUUUUAAUAUGUAAUGUGCAUCUUCUUAAGUGAAUUAGUCUCAUUAAAGUAUUUCAGUUCGUCUACAUUGCAUGCCACCCUUACAACCGCAUUCAACAACAUGUGCGUGAAAGAACUGAAAGACUCAUGUUUUAUUUAUGCGCUGGAGCUCCGUAAUAAUCUAAGGAAAAUUCAACCCUGCAAAAUUAUAUGGUGUGGUGUAUUGGUAAAACUUUACGUUGUGCGAUAUUUGGCGUACAUAAUUUCUUUCCCUCGUUUUCUGUUUUGGUGGAUUCUUUGGUUAUGGAUGGUUUCCUGGCACGGAGUUGACAAACGUAGGCAAAAAGCCUAUGGACGUGUUUCACCUGCUUCCGAAAAAACAAAUAUAAGUAAAAUAAAACAAAUAUAAUAAAUACGUACGGAUACGAUGGAGUCGGAUAAGGCGGGUGAUGGUUUAUGAUAUCCAUUUUCGUUGAUCUGACUGUUAGCUCGAGCAAGAUAUCUGUCUUUGGCUGCCGAGUGCCUCGUGUGUUCUAGAGGUCGGCGGUAAGAAAGGCAAACAAAGAGGUUGAAAAUGAAGAACUGAAGAAGUUGAAGCACGGGUGGUUAUAACGAAAUUGAGAGGAAAAAUUCGGAACCCCCAAUCUGAAAGCGGGAAAAUUCGGUGAAAUACUUCAGUGAAUUACACCCGAUGAAAUGAAAGUUGGCUACAGGGCCGAUUGAUGUUUUACUUUAGUGAAUUUUUUGCACGGUAUUGUUUUUUGAAAAAUUUCACAGAUCUGCAGAAAACAAUUUUGGGGGGUGUAGAAUGGUUGGUAAAACAAAAUCUUUGGGUAUGUCCUGAGGGAGUGAGGGUAGACAUUUUUUGCGCAAGAGCAUCUCCGUAUACUUCGAGUUUUCCGGUUCGAACUUAAUUAAGGUAGUUUUCAUCUGAUUCCUGUGCUGACUCGCCGAGUUUGAAGUUAUUUCUAAAAAUAGGAGGAGGGGUCCUUUAAAUUUUGUAUUGAAUUUAAUUAAUGUUAAUUAUAUCUACUUCAUUGAUUU